rnacentral:rRNA from 1 species
UAACACAUGCAAGUCGAACGAGCGAGAGAGAGUUUACUUUUUCGAGCGAGUGGCGAACGGGUGAGUAACGCGUGAGGAACCUGCCUCAAAGAGGGGGACAACAGUUGGAAACGACUGCUAAUACCGCAUAAGCCCACGGCUCGGCAUCGAGCAGAGGGAAAAGGAGCAAUCCGCUUUGAGAUGGCCUCGCGUCCGAUUAGCUAGUUGGUGAGGUAACGGCCCACCAAGGCGACGAUCGGUAGCCGGACUGAGAGGUUGAACGGCCACAUUGGGACUGAGACACGGCCCAGACUCCUACGGGAGGCAGCAGUGGGGAAUAUUGCACAAUGGGGGAAACCCUGAUGCAGCGACGCCGCGUGGAGGAAGAAGGUCUUCGGAUUGUAAGCUCCUGUUGUUGAGGAAGAUAAUGACGGUACUCAACAAGGAAGUGACGGCUAACUACGUGCCAGCAGCCGCGGUAAAACGUAGGUCACAAGCGUUGUCCGGAAUUACUGGGUGUAAAGGGAGCGCAGGCGGGAAGACAAGUUGGAAGUGAAAUCCAUGGGCUCAACCCAUGAACUGCUUUCAAAACUGUUUUUCUUGAGUAGUGCAGAGGUAGGCGGAAUUCCCGGUGUAGCGGUGGAAUGCGUAGAUAUCGGGAGGAACACCAGUGGCGAAGGCGGCCUACUGGGCACCAACU